AGCCGAUAGAAAUCAUCAAGCCAAGCUCCUCCUACUAGCCUUACCGUCUCUCUCCCUGCUAUUGGGAUAACCAAACCCUAACCCCCACCAAAUCUCCCAGUCCUCAAACCCUAGCUUAUACUCUAUCAAUUUCUAUCAUAGCCACUGCUUCUUCUCUUCAUAACCUCAUUUAUCUCAAAGCUUCCAUUGUCAGACAUGGACCUCCAGCGAGCUAUGCUAGACGAACUCAUGGGUUCUGAUCGUAAUUUGACGGAGGAAGAGAAGAAAGAGUACAAGGAAAUUACGUGGGAUUCUAAGGAGGUCUGUCCAUACUAUAUGGCUCGAUUUUGUCCACAUGACCUCUUUGUUAACACCAAAAGUGAUCUAGGGCCAUGUGAUAGGAUUCAUGAUCCAAAGUUGAAAGAAAGCUUUGAGAGUUCCCCAAGACACGACAGAUAUCUGCCCAAAUUUGAAGCUGAACUUGCUCAGCGUUGUGAGAAAUUGGUCAUGGAUUUGGAUAGAAGAGUUAGGCGUGGAAGAGAACGCCUUGCUCAAGGGGAGGAACCAAUACCACCUCCUCCACUGUCAGCUGGAAAGUCUGAACAGUUAUCUGUGGUGGAGGAGAAAAUAAAGAACCUGCUGGUGCAAGUGGAAUCCCUUGGUGAAGCUGGGAAGGUGGAUGAAGCUCAAGCACUUAUGAAAAAGGUGGAUGAACUCAAUUCUGAGAAGGCCUUGAUUCAAUCCCAGAGCGAUAAAUUAUUGAUGGUUCCGCAGGAGAAAAAGAUGGCCUUGUGUGAGAUUUGUGGUUCUUUUCUAGUAGCAAAUGAUGCUGCUGAGAGGACUCAGUCUCAUGUCUUAGGGAAGCAGCACAUAGGUUACGGCAUGGUCCGAGAUUUCAUCACAGAGUACAAGGCAGCUAAGGA
rnacentral:misc_RNA from 1 species